AACGGAAAUCCGUGCGGUCAGAGGUGGUACUGCAUCCGAACAGGAGCGCCGAGCAGGGAGACUGAAGCAUCAAUACAGGAUGAAACUGUGACUAAACCGGAUUUUAAAUAAGAAAUAGUUCAGUCUCAGGUCAGUGGCACUCCGGUCUGUUAUCACACUCAUUAUAGUAAGUUAUUUUAAAUGAAACCAGCUCAUAGUUAGUUAGUUUUGGGGCUUUUUUGAGCUAGCUGACUUCAGUGUGUCAGAGCGGUUAGCUAGCAGCCAUGGCGGGAGAAGUUCGGUUAUACAAACAAGAUGGCGUCAGCGGGACUUCAACAUUACCUGGACACAUGGAGCAGUUCACCUCCCUGGAGGAGAGGGACUUCAAAUAAUCCAAAGCUGCAAGAAGUCUGUGGACAUACGCUGUGGACUGAGCCCUUGCCAACUUCAGUUAUAUAUACUGUGACGAGUUCACUGUCAUCUCGUAAAGUCCACGAGGGUAGAGACCGUAAGCCACUGAUAGACAGCCCUUGAGACUGUCUUGCUUGUUGCCAUGGAAAUAUUUGAGUCCUCAUGGCGCCCCAGAUUCAAACGUCCAAAAACACAUAAUUGAAACCACAAAAUAUCUCCAUACUGCUCGUCUGCAGUGAUCCAAGUGUCCUGAAGCCCCGACAUAAAACGUUGGGGCGCCGUCAGCCUCCAUUAGGUGGAGUUGUGUUGCUACCUCCUCUCCCCUUGGAUCUCUGCAAGUGAUGUGAGGACUCUAAAACUUCACCUGAGCCUCCCUCGGCAUAUGGAGAUCCUCUCGUCCAAUCAGAGGGCUUCAUGGCCCGCUGGCCGCCUCUUGAAUGGUGGUUGAGAACUCACGGUUCCACUGAGAUGGAAAGACAAGGAGGAGGAAGAGGAGGAAGGAGGGAUGAAGGUGUGUUGUUCUGGCGGUCCUCCUCACGGUGACUCAGCAGGUCUGCAGGUUUAUAGAGACGCCGCGAUGCUCAGUCUGUCACCACGGA